UACGAAGGGUGCUAGCGUUGUUCGGAAUCACUGGGCGUAAAGGGCGCGUAGGCGGCGUCGCAAGUCAGAGGUGAAAGCCUGGAGCUCAACUCCAGAAUUGCCUUUGGAACUGCGAUGCUAGAGUGUCGGAGGGGAUAGCGGAAUUCCUAAUGUAGAGGUGAAAUUCGUAGAUAUUAGGAGGAACACCGGUGCGAAGGCGGCUAUCUGGACGACAACUGACGCUGAGCGCGAAAGCGUGGGGAUCAAAGCAGG
rnacentral:rRNA from 1 species